GUGAGGAAUAUUGGACAAUGGAUGGAAAUCUGAUCCAGCCAUGCCGCGUGCAGGAAGACGGCCCUAUGGGUUGUAAACUGCUUUUAUACGGGAGCAAUAAGGUCUAUGCAUAGAUUGAUGAGAGUACCGUAUGAAUAAGCAUCGGCUAACUCCGUGCCAGCAGCCGCGGUAAUACGGAGGAUGCGAGCGUUAUCCGGAUUUAUUGGGUUUAAAGGGUGCGUAGGCGGCUUUGUAAGUCAGCGGUGAAAUUUUGCAGCUUAACUGUAAAAGUGCCGUUGAUACUGUGAAGCUAGGAUUUGGUUGCUGUGGGCGGAAUGUGUGGUGUAGCGGUGAAAUGCAUAGAGAUCACACAGAAUAUCGAUUGCGAAGGCAGCUCACAAAGCCAAUAUUGACGCUGAGGCACGAAAGUGUGGGGAUCAAACAGGAUUAGAAACCCGUGUAGUCC
rnacentral:rRNA from 1 species